UUUUGUUAUCCCGCUGUGGACGGAGGAAGUUAGAGGCUGUGACUGAGUAAGGAAGCCAGCUACUUUUGAAACGACCAGCUCCAUAAUUCCUACUGAUAUUUAUCAGGUCCGUUGAAUUCAAUGCGUUAAUCAUUUUAAUCUGUAAUGUGUAGGAGUCCAAUAACGUUUUAACUUUAUUUUUUUUUACACUGCAGAGUAUGGCGGUCCUUCCCAUUUAUAUGUCAGCCUGCCUUAGCUGCUGUGCGCGCGCAGCCACCAUUUCUCGAAUGCAAGACAGUGACAGACUGUUUAGGUUGUCAUGAUCAUGAUCGCUCAUCACUGUGUUGUUGAUUUUGAUCAUUCUCUUGCAGAGAUUAUUUUUUUUAAAUGGAGGUCCGUGAUUCCAGAUACUCGUCACGAUUUCUCAAACCAAAAACUCAUGUAUAAAUCAGGAAAAAAUAUUUUUUUUAAAUGAACUUCCAAGAAAUAAAUCUGUAGGUCCUUAGAAGCCAGUGCAUUGUUGUCAGUGUUGUUUUUUUAGCAGUUCUGCAAAUUCUGCAACAUUGCUGUGACAGCUAGUGUGAACUGUAUAUUUGCCAUUACUAUUUUAAAAUGUAUUAAUUUAUUUGGAACAGGGCUUAGAUCUGAAUAAAUGCUGUGUUGGUA